rnacentral:lncRNA from 1 species
UUGUCUUCUAAAACCCUACAAAUCUUCCACAAGCACCCUUUUCCAUUGCCUCUCCUAACUCAACACAACCACCGUCACAAGAAUUACAACAAUCGGUCGUCAUUGUCCCCUCACACUCUCCUCAAAAUCGCUUGUGAGUUUCCAGCUAGUCACAAUUGUCUCUCGAGUACAUCGCCUACCCCAACUCCCCUCUCAACGCCGGUGCCGUGCCUUUGUGAUUUUAGAUUUGCAGUCAUGGAGAUCACUUGUGCCCAACAUAAUACCAUCUCUGAGCCACCUACCACCAAUGGGCUCGCAAGGCUGGAAGAUUGAC